UACAGAGGUCCCAAGCGUUGUUCGGAUUCACUGGGCGUAAAGGGUGCGUAGGUGGUGAGGUAAGUUUGAUGUGAAAUCUCCGGGCUCAACCCGGAAAUGGCAUUGAAUACUAUCUCGCUAGAGGAGUGGAGGGGGGACUGGAAUACUUGGUGUAGCGGUGAAAUGCGUAGAUAUCAAGAGGAACACCUGAGGUGAAGACGGGUUGCUGGGCCGACACUGACGCUGAGUGCGCGAAAGCCAGGGGAGCAAACGGG
rnacentral:rRNA from 1 species